rnacentral:tRNA from 1 species
UUGUAUGUAGCUUAAAUAUUUAAAGCAUAGCACUGAAAAUGCUAAAAUGGUAAACCCCUCCAAC